CCUACGGGAGGCAGCAGUAGGGAAUCUUCCACAAUGGACGAAAGUCUGAUGGAGCAACGCCGCGUGAGUGAAGAAGGGUUUCGGCUCGUAAAGCUCUGUUGGUAGUGAAGAAAGAUAGAGGUAGUAACUGGCCUUUAUUUGACGGUAAUUACUUAGAAAGUCACGGCUAACUACGUGCCAGCAGCCGCGGUAAUACGUAGGUGGCAAGCGUUGUCCGGGUUUAUUGGGCGUAAAGCGAGUGCAGGCGGUUCAAUAAGUCUGAUGUGAAAGCCUUGGGCUCAACCGGAGAAUUGCAUUAGAAACUGUUGAACUUGAGUGCAGAAGAGGAAAGUGGAACUCCAUGUGUAGCGGUGGAAUGCGUAGAUAUAAGGAAGAACACCAGUGGCGAAGGCGGCUUUCUGGUCUGCAACUGACGCUGAGGCUCGAAAGCAUGGGUAGCGAACAGGAUUAGAUACCCCAGUAGUC
rnacentral:rRNA from 1 species